AGUGAACGCUGGCGGUAGGCCUAACACAUGCAAGUCGAACGGCAGCACAGUAAGAGCUCGCUCUUACGGGUGGCGAGUGGCGGACGGGUGAGGAAUACAUCGGAAUCUACUUUUUCGUGGGGGAUAACGUAGGGAAACUUACGCUGAUACCGCAUACGACCUACGGGUGAAAGCAGGGGAUCUUCGGACCUUGCGCGAUUGAAUGAGCCGAUGUCGGAUUAGCUAGUUGGCGGGGUAAAGGCCCACCAAGGCGACGAUCCGUAGCUGGUCUGAGAGGAUGAUCAGCCACACUGGAACUGAGACACGGUCCAGACUCCUACGGGAGGCAGCAGUGGGGAAUAUUGGACAAUGGGCGCAAGCCUGAUCCAGCCAUACCGCGUGGGUGAAGAAGGCCUUCGGGUUGUAAAGCCCUUUUGUUGGGAAAGAAAAGCAGCAGGUUAAUACCCCGCUGUUCUGACGGUACCCAAAGAAUAAGCACCGGCUAACUUCGUG
rnacentral:rRNA from 1 species